CGGGGCCCAUCUGUCAGGGCACGCACCGGAUCUCAGUCAUCCCCAACAUUUCCCAUCUCCUCUUUCCUCGCCUCCUUCGCCAGGCUAUUUUUUCGGGAGACGCGGUGAGCAUCAGCGGCUGGAUUUCGACGGCGAGGUCGCAGCGGGGUGAGGCAGAGCGUUGCGCUGAACGGCGAGCCGCCUGGGAGAAGCGUGCGCCGCCCGCGAGAGGCGCGCGCUGCGAGCUUCCAGAACAGCGGACGGGUUUUUCUGCGGCGACGAAGCAGCGCCCCGGUGUUACAGAUGUUGCCCAGAUGUUUGUAGUACUGGAUUUCAGGCAAGUUUUGCUAGCGGUGGAUGUUUUGUAGGUGUUGACAUGUUGCUUUGUGGCUCGUGUGUAGUGGAUAUCAUGAAUUCAAACCAGGAUGAAGCAGCUGGGGUCGAAGAUAAUUCUGGAGAUUUAAUUCAUCGCUGUAGCAGACGAUAAUUACAGGGAGGUCAAAACUUGCAGGGUGACAAUGUGAGAAGAAUCGCUUCAGGGGUUGACAACAUGCUGCAUUUUUUUUUCCUCUGACAAAGUGCCUUAUAAGUUUGCUGCUAGUGCUUAAAAUUUACAUGGCUAAUUCGUGUGCAGGGUGUGCCAGAGAAUAAUGAGCCCAAUAUUGAGAUUGUUGCUCCUAAUUAUAGCUGCUGUUGCACUCCUCUAUGGAAAUGGAUACAACCUAAUUGUGUUGGUUCUAGGUUUGACCCUCAAUUCGACUAUCGUUGUGCCAAUUCAGUUAUAGGUUAUAGCGAACAUUUUUUUCCUCAAGCAACUGUGUUGAAUUAAAAGUUGUUGUACCAAAUUAGGUUAAAUUAACUUCCUAAACUUUGUCGAAUCAUGAGUUGCCAGACUAAGUGCAUAAUUAGUUGCUUUUGGGCCACUCAACUAUUAGUCCCUGUAUAUAAACUAAAAGUCUGCCUAAAGUCUGAAACUAGGUCCCUUUUUAAGUUACUCCCUCCGUCCAACAAAAGAUGUCUCAAGUUUAUCAAAAUUUAGACGUAUCUAGACAUGACUUAGUGUAUAGAUGGAUUCAAAUUUAGUCAAAGUUGAGACAUCCUUUGUUGGACGGAGGGAGUAUGUUAUUUGGUUGUUAUCAUCAGAUUUAUAUUUUUCUGUUUCUCUUAUGCUCAGUUUUUGUUGCCUAUGGAUUAAACUGCCUAGCCUGCCUGCCUGAUGUAUGUUAGCCUAGACGGAAUUAGUCUCUUGUGAUAGCUGUGUGCUCUAUCUCUGCCCUUUUUUGUUAUAUGCCGGCCAGCUUCUAUAGUUUUAGUUAUUGGUUAGUCAGAGUUGUGUUCUGUGUCCAUUGACGACAUGUACCACCUACUUGUCCAGUUGUCCUCACUCCCAGGUGUGCUCUUCAUAUCAGAUGUUUUUUUCUUUGUUUGCUCCAUCUUCUUUGCUCUUCCCUACGGACUACAAAACAGAAACUGUAAUGUUUAUGUCUCUUUCCCCAUCUAGUCUUUUUCAGUGUGCUUUUUCUAUACAUAAGCGCAUAUAGAGAGGAAUAGGUUUGAUAAUCUUUUUGUUUUUUUAUGUAGGUGAAAGCUGGGGUUCCAACAGUCAAGCUUUGGGGGUAUACUAACCAAUAUUCAUAGGAUAAGCAAUGUUCACGGCUUUUUAGGACUUGCUGGAUAUUAUCGGAGGUUCAUUGAGAAUUUCUCCAAGAUAGCUAAACCUAUGACUGAACUUCUGAAAAAGGAAAAAAAAUUUGAAUGGACUGAUAAGUGUGAAGAAAGUUUUCAAGAUUUGAAGAAGAGGUUGGUGUCAGCACCCAUCCUCGUUUUGCCCGACUUACUAGAAAAUUUCCAAGUGCACUGUGACGCCUCGCGUCUAGGACUGUGAUGUGUUUUGAUGCAAGGAGGAAGAGUCGUAGCUUACGCCUCAUGGAACUUAAGAAUCAUGAAAGAAAUUACCCCACUCAUAAUUUGGAACUAGCAUCGGUAGUACACGCACUCAA